GACGAACGCUGGCGGCGUGCCUAAUACAUGCCAGUAGAACGCUGAAGCUUGGUGCUUGCACCGAGCGGAUGAGUUGCGAACGGGUGAGUAACGCGUAGGUAACCUGCCUGGUAGCGGGGGAUAACUAUUGGAAACGAUAGCUAAUACCGCAUAAGAGUAGAUGUUGCAUGACAUUUGCUUAAAAGGUGCAAUUGCAUCACUACCAGAUGGACCUGCGUUGUAUUAGCUAGUUGGUGAGGUAACGGCUCACCAAGGCAACGAUACAUAGCCGACCUGAGAGGGUGAUCGGCCACACUGGGACUGAGACACGGCCCAGACUCCUACGGGAGGCAGCAGUAGGGAAUCUUCGGCAAUGGACGGAAGUCUGACCGAGCAACGCCGCGUGAGUGAAGAAGGUUUUCGGAUCGUAAAGCUCUGUUGUAAGAGAAGAACGAGUGUGAGAGUGGAAAGUUCACACUGUGACGGUAUCUUACCAGAAAGGGACGGCUAACUACGUG
rnacentral:rRNA from 1 species